rnacentral:rRNA from 2 species
UCAAGCUAAUAAGGGCUUGUGGUGGAUACCUAGGCACACAGAGGCGAAGAAGGACGUGGUGACCGACGAAACGCUCCGGGGAGUUGGAAGCAAGCGGGGAUCCGGAGAUAUCCGAAUAGGGCAACCUGUAUGUACUGCCUGCUGAAUAUAUAGGCAGGAAAGAGCGAACCCAGCGAACUGAAACAUCUAAGUAGCUGGAGGAAAAGAAAUCAAACGAGAUUCCCCAAGUAGUGGUGAGCGAACGGGGAAGAGCCUAAACCAAAGUACAUGUAUUUUGGGGUAGUGGGACAGCAUGAUGGAAUCUAGAGGUUAGACGAAGCAGCUAAAUACUGCACCAAAGAAGGUGAAAGUCCUGUAGUCGAAAGCUGACUGGAUACAAGCUGAAUCCCGAGUAGCAUGGAGCACGUGAAAUUCCAUGUGAAUCAGCCACGACCACGUGGUAAGGCUAAAUACUACUGUGUGACCGAUAGCGAAACAGUACCGCGAGGGAAAGGUGAAAAGAACCCCGCAAGGGGAGUGAAAUAGAACAUGAAACCGCAAGCCUACAAGCAGUGGAAGGACGAUAGUUCGUCUGACCGCGUGCCUGUUGAAGAAUGAGCCGGCGAGUUAUAAGUACUGGUAGGUUAAGGCGAGGAUGCCGAAGCCAAAGCGAAAGCGAGUCUGAAGAGGGCGCAAAUCAGUAUUUAUAGACCCGAACCCUGGUGAUCUAACCAUGACCAGGAUGAAGCUUGGGUAACACCAAGUGGAGGUCCGCACCGACCGAUGUUGAAAAAUCGGCGGAUGAGUUGUGGUUAGGGGUGAAAUGCCAAUCGAACCAGGAGCUAGCUGGUUCUCCCCGAAAUGUGUUGAGGCGCAGCGGUUGUGGUUGAAGUCGGGGGGUAAAGCACUGUUUCGGUGCGGGCUGCGAGAGCGGUACCAAAUCGAGACAAACUCAGAAUACCCGAUGUACACACAACCAGUGAGACGGUGGGGGAUAAGCUUCAUCGUCAAGAGGGAAACAGCCCAGACCACCAGCUAAGGUCCCCAAAUCAUCGCUAAGUGGCAAAGGAGGUAGAAGUGCACAGACAACCAGGAGGUUUGCCUAGAAGCAGCCACCCUAUAAUGAGUGCGUAAUAGCUCACUGGUCAAGCGCUUCCGCGCCGAAAAUGAAUGGGACUAAGCGAUGUACCGAAGCUGUGGGAUUAAUAGUAUUAAUCGGUAGGGGAGCGUUCUGUAGUAGGGUGAAGCACUAGCGGCAAGCAGGUGUGGACGAAACAGAAGUGAGAAUGUCGGCUUGAGUAGCGCAAAUAUUGGUGAGAAUCCAAUACCCCGAAACCCCAAGGGUUCCAGAGCCAGGUUCGUCCACUCUGGGUUAGUCGGGACCUAAGGCGAGGGCGAAAGCCGUAGUCGAUGGACAACGGGUUAAAAUUCCCGUACUCAAAAAUAGUAGUGCAGAGGGACGGAGAAGGCGAUUGUCAGCCGGAUGUUGGUUACCGGUUCAAGUAUGCGAGGCGAUGAGGAACGGCGAAAACGUUCCGAGCGAAGCUGCGAGUACGACUCUCUACGGAGAGGAAGUGGCAUAGUCUAGCUUCCAAGAAAAGCUCUAAGUACGUUAACUAUUUUUGACCCGUACUCGAAACCGACACAGGUGGGGAGGUUGAGAAUACCAAGGGGCGCGAGAUAACUCUCUCUAAGGAACUCGGCAAAAUGGCCCCGUAACUUCGGAAGAAGGGGUGCCCAAGGAUGACUUGGGUCGCAGUGAAGAGGUCCAGGCGACUGUUUACCAAAAACACAGGUCUCCGCAAAGUCAAUAGACGCAGUAUGGGGGCUGACGCCUGCCCAGUGCCGGAAGGUUAAGGAAGUUGGUCAGGGGGUAACCCUAAAGCUGACGACCGAAGCCCCGGUGAACGGCGGCCGUAACUAUAACGGUCCUAAGGUAGCGAAAUUCCUUGUCGGGUAAGUUCCGACCCGCACGAAAGGCGUAACGAUCUGGACGGUGUCUCGGAGAGAGACUCGGCGAAAUAGGAUUGUCUGUGAAGAUACGGACUACCUGCACCUGGACAGAAAGACCCUAUGAAGCUUUACUGUAGCCUGGAAUGGUGUCCGGGCUGAACUUGCGCAGGAUAGGUGGGAGGCGUAGAGAUUCUCCUUGUGGGGGGAAUGGAGCCAACGGUGAGAUACCACUCUAGUUCAGCUAGGAUUCUAACCCGCGACCGUAAUCCGGUCGGGAGACAGUUUCAGGUGGGCAGUUUGACUGGGGCGGUCGCCUCCUAAAAGGUAACGGAGGCGCGCAAAGGUUCCCUCAGCACGCUUGGAAACCGUGCGUCGAGUGUAAAGGCAAUAAGGGAGCUUGACUGCAAGAGUUACAACUCGAACAGGUACGAAAGUAGGCCUUAGUGAUCCGACGGCGCAGAGUGGAAUGGCCGUCGCUCAACGGAUAAAAGUUACUCUAGGGAUAACAGGCUGAUCUCCCCCAAGAGUCCACAUCGACGGGGAGGUUUGGCACCUCGAUGUCGGCUCAUCGCAACCUGGGGCGGAAGUACGUCCCAAGGGUUGGGCUGUUCGCCCAUUAAAGCGGUACGUGAGCUGGGUUCAGAACGUCGUGAGACAGUUCGGUCCAUAUCCGGUGCAGGCGUAAGAGUAUUGAGAGGAGCCUUCCUUAGUACGAGAGGACCGGGAAGGACGUACCUCUGGUGUACCAGUUAUCGUGCCAACGGUAGACGCUGGGUAGCCAUGUACGGAGCGGAUAACCGCUGAAAGCAUCUAAGUGGGAAGCCCACCUCAAGAUGAGUACUCUCAUGGAAUAAAUCCAGUAAGGUCACAGGUAGAACACCUGUUGAUAGGCUCUAAGUGGAAGUGCAGUAAUGUAUGUAGCUGAGGAGUCCUAAUAGACCGAGGGCUUGACCUC